rnacentral:rRNA from 1 species
UACGGGGGGAGCAAGCGUUGUUCGGAUUUACUGGGCGUAAAGGGCGCGUAGGCGGCCACCGCAAGUCAAUUGUGAAAUCUCCGGGCUUAACUCGGAAAGGUCAACUGAUACUGCGGGGCUAGAGUGCGGAAGGGGCAACUGGAAUUCUCGGUGUAGCGGUGAAAUGCGCAGAUAUCAGGAGGAACACCGGUGGCGAAGGCGGUUCUCUGGGCCUUACCUGACGCUGAGGAGCGAAAGCGUGGGGAGCAAACAGG